rnacentral:rRNA from 1 species
CCUUUACCUUUAACACAUUAGUUAAAAGAAGAAAUGCUCCGGCGCUUUGGGAUGGUCUCGCGAUCUAUCAGCUUGUUGGUGAGGUAACGGCUCACCAAGGCAUCGACGGAUAGCUGGUCUGAGAGGAUGUCCAGCCACAUUGGAACUGAGACACGGUCCAAACUCCUACGGGAGGCAGCAGUAGGGAAUCUUGCACAAUGAGGGAAACCUUGAUGCAGCGACGCCGCGUGCGGGACGAAGGCCCUAGGGUUGUAAACCGCUUUCAGUAGGGACGAAAGUGACGGUACCUACAGAAGAAGCCCCGGCCAACUAUGUG